AGCCUGUGGCCCCACUGGUUUUUCCCACUAGUAGUGGUGUUAGGGGGUGCAAAUGGCAUUUUCCAGUACUGAGGCCAACCCCUGUAUAUUGUCCCCUCUCCUGACCACUUUGAGACACACCUGCACCAAGUGCGCCUGGGCGUCUGGGAGCUGGGGUGGAGGUGGGAGGGAGGGCUGGGAAGGGGGAACCCAUACAGACCCCUCCCUGCACGGGCCCCAUUCAAGACGGGCUUGAAGUUGUCCUUCUGGUCCCCCUGCCCCACUGGAAAGCAAGUUCCCAGGCACGGAAUUCCAUCAAUAAUUGACUCUCUCUCCACUAAGGGCCAUUGAGCUGGGUUGUCUGGGUUCAUUCCUUAAUCUUCAGAGCUCAGGGAAACUGAGUCAGAGUGACCAGUGGUCAAUUCCAGCAGAAAGAGUGUCAGGAGGUGGGUGCCGUGUCUUCCAGCCCUAGCUUUUCCCUAUUUAGAGGAAACAAGGAAUGGGCGUGUAGAGGGUUCUUGUCCCUAGAACAUAGUAUCAACCGCCAGAUGUCGCCCGAUCCCAAAGCCACCAGAUCGGGCAGUCCUGGGAAGCCAAAAUCCAGCUCUUUCAUAUUUUCCCUUAUUUGGAGUAGAUUCUUGGAUGUUAGGCACACCCCGCCCACCACACCACCCCUGGCCCUCAGACCCCAGGCCAGACCCUCCCACUGGGAGGUAUAGCCCAAGCCCAGGAGCUGUUCAGCUGGGAUCCCUAAGGAGCUGUUUCCAGGCCUGCGUAGCCAGGGGGCGCAGGAGGGAAGGAAGCCGCAGACUGGCAAGGUGAGAAGAGACCUGUGCUGGCAAGUCCAGGUGCGGCAGGUGAGGUCGCCCAUUCCCAAGCUCCCACCUUGACGGUGCACUCGGAGCACUUACAAAUGGGUCUGCCAGUGGAUUUUAACCUAUUUUGCCUGGCCCCAGGUGGCACGGGAAUCUGGGGACAUUGUUGGUUAUAUCCUGGCUGGCAGUGCGCAUCCAACUCAGAGCCAACCUGGCAUAGGGCCCAGGGCCCAACCAAGGAACCUGGCCUGGUCUCAUCCUCACCAUGGCCCCCAUGGAGUAGAGCAGCCCCAGAACCAGCUCCCCUGUGCCCAAAGCAGCUGGUGCCCUGUGGACUCGAGCCAGCAAGGGACACGCUGUCCCCCUCCCAGUGGGCACACUGGCUGAGAAGUGUCCUUCCAGGUGGCCACUCGCCCUGAGUCCACACAAGUUCCUGGUGUCAGGGCCCUUCUCUCUCAGGCAUGCAGUGGUCCGUUCAUGGGCAAGUGCCCAGACACCCUCUCUCUCUCGGGGACCCCCCAUGGCCUCAGGCUCCCACAUUCGUGGGCACAGACAUGGCUCGUGGGUCAACUAGGGAAGCUAUUCUCUGGACACUCACUCCCAGAUGCCAGGGGAGCCUCCAUCGGCUCACGCAUCCCAGCUGAACCUGGCCCGGACCUGGGCGCGAGCUGGCGCCUGCGUUUUCCGGCCUCUCUGCCCGCCUUCUCCAACCCCGC
rnacentral:lncRNA from 1 species